UCUCCGUAGGUGAACCUGCGGAGGGAUCAUUACUGAGUGAGGGCCUUCGGGCUCGACCUCCAACCCUUUGUGAACACAACUUGUUGCUUCGGGGGCGACCCUGCCGCUUCGGCGGUGGCGCUCCCGGUGGCCAAUUAUUAAACUCUGCAUCUUUGCGUCGGAGUUUAAGUAAAUUAAACAAAACUUUCAACAACGGAUCUCUUGGUUCUGGCAUCGAUGAAGAACGCAGC
rnacentral:misc_RNA from 1 species